rnacentral:lncRNA from 1 species
UUUUAAAGGACUAUAGAGAAAAAGAAGAACAAAACUUUGGGAGAGUUUCCGUUAUUAAAUAUUUACCAUUUCAGGUCCAGAGUCAAGAAAGUACAGAAACUUUUGGGUUGCAGUUCCUUGUACUCAAGACUCCCACUGAAGACAAUAGGAUUUAGGGCCUACCACAGCACAUUGCAUCAACCUUGCAGGUUAUAGGCCUACUUUCCAAUUUGAAAUCCUAUAAUCAAAGCCCACAAGCAGACCCCAUCUGGAAAGAAAUUGGAGGUGAAGAAGACAUGUGGAUAGCAUCUCCAGAGGAGAGGUGUAAGACACAAAGGUGAGUGCCGAAUGGUGGAAGUGUGAUUCUAGAAAUUCUGCUAAAUGUACCUGAGGUAAAUUGGAUUUUGCUUAUUGCAGUGGACAAGGUUGCAUAUACUACUGAUUUCUUAGGGAUAUAUUUUACUCACAGUGCACUGCACUCUGGGAAGUGAAUCAUAAAAAGAUUAUUUUAGACUGAACAGAAGAAGGAAUUGCAUCUUAAACUGUACUUCUGCCGUGUU